UUUCCGUAGGUGAACCUGCGGAAGGAUCAUUAUUGUAUAACCGAGGUGCGAGGGCUGUCGCUGACCCGAAAGGUCGUGCACGCCCGAGUGCCCUCACACACAUCCAUCUCACCCCUAUGUGCACCACCGCGUGGGUCCCCCUUUGGCUUGUUCGGAGGGGGGCUUACGUCUUCACACAAACUUUGUAUGCAGUGUAGAAUGUAUUUUUUGUUUUUGCGAUCACGCAAUCAAUACAGCUUUCAACAACGGAUCUCUUGGCUCCCGCAUCGAUGAAGAACGCGGC
rnacentral:misc_RNA from 1 species